ACUGACUGGCUCAGCUUGUGCCUACCCUCCGCCAGCAGGCGCGGAUAACCCAAUGAACCCCAUUCGUGAUGGGGAUCGGGGAUUGCAAUUCUUCCCCAUGAAC
rnacentral:ncRNA from 1 species